rnacentral:rRNA from 1 species
CACGUAGGGCGCAAGCGUUGUCCGGAAUUAUUGGGCGUAAAGAGCUCGUAGGCGGACUGUCACGUCCGCUGUGAAAAGCUAGGGCUUAACCCUGGCCUUGCAGUGGAUACGGGCAGACUAGAGGUAGGUAGGGGAGAAUGGAAUUCCCGGUGUAGCGGUGAAAUGCGCAGAUAUCGGGAGGAACACCGGUGGCGAAGGCGGUUCUCUGGGACGGUACUGACGCUGAGACGCGAAAGCGUGGGGAGCGAACAGG